rnacentral:rRNA from 1 species
UACGAGGGGGGCUAGCGUUGCUCGGAAUCACUGGGCGUAAGGCGCACGUAGGCGGAUUGCUAAGUCAGGGGUGAAAUCCUGGAGCUCAACUCCAGAACUGCCUUUGAUACUGGCGAUCUCGAGUCCGGGAGAGGUGAGUGGAACUGCGAGUGUAGAGGUGAAAUUCGUAGAUAUUCGCAAGAACACCAGUGGCGAAGGCGGCUCACUGGCCCGGUACUGACGCUGAGGUGCGAAAGCGUGGGGAGCAAACAGG